rnacentral:rRNA from 1 species
AUUGAACGCUGGCGGCAGGCCUAACACAUGCAAGUCGAACGAGUGGCGGACGGGUGAGUAAUGUCUGGGAAACUGCCUGAUGGAGGGGGAUAACUACUGGAAACGGUAGCUAAUACCGCAUACCAUCAGAUGUGCCCAGAUGGGAUUAGCUUGUUGGUGGGGGAACGGCUGACCAAGGCGACGAUCCCUAGCUGGUCGGAGAGGAUGACCAGCCACACUGGAACUGAUACACGGGCCAGACUCCUACGGGAGGCAGCAGAGGGGUAUAUGGCACAAUGGGCGCAAGCCUGAUGCAACCAUGCCGCGUGUAUGAAGAAGGCCUGCGGGUUGUAAUGUACUUUCAGCGGGGAGUCGUUACCCGCAGAAGAAGCACCGGCUAACUCCGUGCCAGCAGCCGCGGUAAUAC